rnacentral:rRNA from 1 species
CUUUCUUUGCUGGCGACCGGCGCACGGGUGAGUAACACUAUCCAACCUGCCCUUUACUCGGGGAUAGCCUUUCGAAAGAAAGAUUAAUACCCGAUAGCAUAAUGAUUCCGCAUGGUUUCAUUAUUAAAGGAUUCCGGUAAAGGAUGGGGAUGCGUUCCAUUAGGUUGUUGGUGAGGUAACGGCUCACCAAGCCUUCGAUGGAUAGGGGUUCUGAGAGGAAGGUCCCCCACAUUGGAACUGAGACACGGUCCAA